rnacentral:rRNA from 1 species
UACAGAGGGUGCAAGCGUUAAUCGGAAUUACUGGGCGUAAAGCGUGCGUAGUCGGUUAUCUAAGUCGGGUGUGAAAUCCCCGGGCUCAACCUGGGAAUUGCAUUCGAUACUGGAUAGCUAGAGUUCGGCAGAGGGAAGCGGAAUUUCCGGUGUAGCGGUGAAAUGCGUAGAUAUCGGAAGGAACAUCAGUGGCGAAAGCGACUUCCUGGACCAGAACUGACGAUAAGGCACGAAAGCGUGGGGAGCAAACAGG